rnacentral:rRNA from 1 species
UACAGAGGUCUCAAGCGUUGUUCGGAAUCACUGGGCGUAAAGCGCGUGUAGGCGACUUGGUAAGUCGGAUGUGAAAUCCCGGGGCCCAACCCCGGAACUGCAUUCGAUACUGCCUCGCUAGAGUCCCGGAGAGGAGAGCGGAAUUCCCGGUGUAGAGGUGAAAUUCGUAGAUAUCGGGAGGAACAUCAGUGGCGAAGGCGGCUCUCUGGACGGUGACUGAUGCUGAGACGCGAAAGCGUGGGUAGCAAACAGG